rnacentral:lncRNA from 1 species
CCCACUUCUGAGAUGUCCCUGUCGAAUCCCCCACUUCUCGAUCUAAAGUCGUCUUGUACAUUUUCCCCAACUACCUCUCGAAUCUGAAGUCACAACUGUCGACUAUGGCUAAAACCCCAGUGUACUCACCCGAGACAACAUCACUCCCCGACUAUGAAGACGGCGAUGCCCAACUCUGACGACAGCCAAAAAUGUAGUUUCCAAAUAGCAAGAAACCCAACAACCUCUAUUGAGACAAAGCAUGCUAAUUGUUACUCUCUUCAUUAAAAGAUUUACAUGGGUUUGCUUUUCCUAAAUAUUGUAGCUUAAGUUAAUUGUGAGAAUGCACUAUGAUUGCCAUUGCUGCUGAAUUUUAUGAGAUAGGCAUCACAUUAUACUUUUACUUUUACCAAAAUACAAACUACACCCAUUUCACAACUUCUCAGCAAUCUCUUACAUAUCCAAUAUCUUAAACUAAACAUCAAGUCCUAAUUUGUUCAAAAAUCCAAAAAUCUUACAUUUUCAAAAUGUGUACAGUGAGUGUAAAAAAAUCGAUAAAUAAUAUGUUAAAAUACCCACAAAUCUUACCUUGUCAAAAUGCUAUGAAAUCGAUGAUAGUUUCACAUCUAAAGACAUCGACGACAGCGACGACAAAAUUUGCAGGAAUAAAGGGUUUUUGCAGUCGGUUAUAUUACGAAGCUAAAGAUAUUGGCUUCUUCGUUCAACAGAUAGAUGGCAGCCGGAGAUGGUAAAGAGAACGAAUACGAAGUUGGCAAUAAUUAAUGGUUCACGAUGUAGGUUCGACGAGGGGAAAGUGGGAUAGGCUUUCGGUUGGAAUAAAAAAAAUGACGUGUUUCAUUCAAAAAAUUGAUGGGUUUUUUUUUUUUUUUUUGUGGCUAAAAACGCUUGAUAGCUCAUCUGUAUUCUUCUGUCAACAGUCUUCUAUACAUGGUACAACAUUGCAUUGCACUAAUGCCUCUUGUAUAGAAGACGGCUGAUAGAACCCAUACAAAAAUUUAAAAAUUGAUACGUAGAGUGAGUUUUUGGUGAUUGACCAAUUUGGUCAAAAAAUCUAAAAAAGGAAAGAGACCAAAUGUUUGGAUUAAC